rnacentral:tRNA from 1 species
GCCUGGGUGGCUCAGUUGGUUGAGCGUCCGACUUCGGCUCAGGUCAUGAUCUCGCGGUCCGUGGGUUCAAGCCCUGUGUCAGGCU